GUAUGGAUGUGAGGCGUUGGCGGUAACACUGGCAACACUCAACUCGAGCCGUCGUGGUUAUCUUCGUGCGCGGUCUCCAAAACAGUAAACAAACAUGGCCAAGGCAGCAGUUCAGCGUCGUUCAAGAACUUUUCGUGAAAGGAGAGACGUGCUGAAUGAAAUGAGUGAUGCAGAACUCAUCAAAGGAUACCGCCUGGACCGAGAAGGUAUCCUGUUCGUGACAGACUUAGCGCGAGACACCAUUUCAAGCCCCACGGCAAGAAAUAAGGCGAUCAGUCCCGAAAUGAAAGUGAUUGCCAUUCUUCAAUAUCUUGCUACAGGGAAGAUGCAGCAGUGUAACAGAGAUGACUUGGGCCCAUCACAACAACAAUGAGUAACAUUAUAAAAGGAAGUGUAUGCGCUGACAAGUUUUGAUGUGUUCCGCCGAUUUAUACAAUUUCCUACCACGGAAGAGGCCACCGCGACCAAGCAGAGGGAAUUCUUGGCACUCUGCGGAUUGCACGGGAUCAUCGGUGCCAUAGAUGGAACUCAUAUGCGACUAAUUCCCCCAAAGAAAUUCGAGGUGGAGCUUGUGAAUAGAACAGGGCAGCAUACCAGAAACGUACAGAGCUCACAAGUGGACGAGAUGUGUUGUGGAGUGAGGAGUCGACAGUGGAAGAAGCAAUUUCACACACUUGACAGUGAAAUAAGAGUGAAGUCCUGUGCAUAUGUGUGCUGGAUCACUAAGGUCUUUGCACUGCUGCACAACAUAAGCAAGGACAGGAACACAGGUUUACCAGCUAAGGAUGAGGGACAAGGAAUUGACAAGUCUAUGGAUCCAUGCCCCCCCUCAAGUAGCACCACAACUCCAAGCUGCCAGAUGUGGAGGUCUGCACUACAGGGAUGAAUAUGUCAACCUUCACUUCAACGAUACACCUCACUGUCAUGUUGCACGAAUAAGACCAGUUUGAUAUGAGUACACACACCAUUAUGAGAGUGGGGGGGAAUGCACAAAGCCUCCACCAAAAUUCUCCAUGGUUUCAUCACUAAUGACAAAGCAGGGAGUGCUGUUAGUGAGGUCCAUUAAGGACUCCUCUGCUAGGGCCUCCAAUGGCAAGGGUGGGAAAAGUCCAGCAUCAUGAAUGACAGCAGCCUCCACCUUAUUACCAUUGGUGACAGGGAUCCUGCUAUAAAGAAAGUUAGUGUCAGAAAUGUUAAAGCAGAGAAAAGACGUGAAAAUAGAAAAACAAAAAUGUUCCUUAAGGUGUUAUGCCUAUUAUGAUUUUCUUGAUUCAUUCCAAUCUAGUAACAGGAAAUUUAAUAAGUAUGGAUGUUUAGUUAGUUUUCUUUGGAUGAGGAUAAGUUCUUUUGAAAACACUGUCAUGUCAUCAACAUUAUCAUCUAUGAUAUGUAAUUAAUUUGUAUUUUGCUAUGCAUCAUGAUCCAUAUGUAUAACACUAUAGUUUUGUAAUGAAAGAAAGAAAAAGAAAA